rnacentral:lncRNA from 1 species
CGUGCUCUCGCGGGAGAGGGCUCAGUAAACAUUUGCUGAGUGGAGCAUGAUCAAUAAGUCAACACUGCAACCGGGAUAAACACACGGACCGGCUGAGGACAGAGAGGAUUCCAGCGCGAGCCUGGCAAGCAAACAUCCAGGGAAACCCGAGCCCCGGCGUUGGGUGAGACCCCGGGGUGGGGGUGGGGGGCAGCUGUCCCCAUCACAGUCACCACAGUCACUUGUGUGCUCAGCUCCAGGCCCCGCGCGAGCGCUCACCCCACCUGGAGGGAGGCAGCGGGCGGAGCCCCAACAGCUGUUGUCCCAGGGUGCUCUCGGGAGGGGCCCCACCUGCCGUGGCUCCAGCUCUGCUCCUGGGUUUCCUAAGGGGCCCUGGGUCCCCGGGGAGGGGGCCUGUGGUCUCCAGGGCAUUUCUGAGUCCCGGCUCCUCGUCCAGGGCAUUUGAGUACCGGACACCUGCCGUUCUGUUGGCACAAGCUCCCCUCUCCCUCACGUCCCAGCUCCACGUUGACCGGCUUGAACUGUGUGCAAGAGAAAGCAGACACAGCCUGUGGGCUUCACCCCGGGACCGAGAAGAGAGAGGAGGGCUGUGUGCGCCCACGCGUGAGCUCACUCUGAACCCACACGUGUGCCCACAAUGCCUGGGCUGUGUCAGAGCUGCACACACCACACGUGUGUCCACACCGCCCAGGGCUGUGUCAGCUGCAUACACCACACGUGUGUCCACACCGCCCGGGGCUGUGUCAGAGCUCCAUGCACCACACGUGUGCUCAUGUCUCCCAGGACUGUCAGAACUGCAGCCACACACCACACGUGUGCUCAUGCCGCCUGGGACUGUGUCAGAGCUCCACGCACCCCAUGUGUGCUCACGCCGCCUGGGACUGUGGGCAGAGCUGCAGAGCCAUUGGGCGGGAGCUCCAAGGGGAAGACCAGGCUCUGAGAGGGGCCGGAAGCCUUCCCUUCUCCCUCUGUUCGCCCCCAGUGAGACCGCAAGCCCCUUCCAUGGUGCCGAGAGGGUGUCUUCCACAUGUCCCUCUCCACAGCCACACGGCAGGCCCAGGCCACCAUUCAGCUCCGUUUCCCGGCAAUGUUUCCAGUCCUUUCCGCCCCCCCGCGACCCAGGCUGCAGCUGUGUGGCCUCCGCAUCCUGGAUGAUGACCCCCGACCCGGUCGCAGUCGCAGGGGAGCCUAGUGCACACCUGCUCCCAACACACGCAGGGUGGCCCUUCCUCCUCUGCGUCCCACCCUCCCCUCCAAGUCCUGGUUGUGCUGGCAGACAGGCCCCACCUCCCAGCCCUCCCCAGCCCUCCCGGACCCUCCCAGAGCCGGAAUGACGCGUGGGCUCCACCAUCCAGAGUGAAAAACCCACAGAGACCCCUGUGGUGGGUUCCUACAGGACCAUCAGUCCCUAAAUGCAAGUCUAUCAAACUUCAGCUUUUUAAAAUAUUUGUGUGCGUUUAUCUGAGGGCAGAAGGACGGAGAUGGAGAUGAGACAGACAGCGAGCUUCCCCAUGGCCAGUUCACUGCCUCAGGCCAAAGCUGGGAGCCGGAAACUCCAUCUGGAUCUCCCACACACGUGGCUGGCAGGGACCCAGCUGCUUGAACCAUCACCUGCUGCUGGAGCCAUGACUCGAACUCAGGCCCAAGAUACGGGACGGAGGCAUUCCAGCUGGCAUCGCAGCAGGUGUGCCAAAGCCCGCCGCAGGCCUGCGGGGCUGUCACAGGACUUAGUGAGAUAACAAACGCUUGCCCUUCCUCAGGGCUGGGAGGACUUUGUGUCCAGCAUGCGGUCAGGCAUCCCCGGAAGCACUUGGCAUCGCUCCGCCUUUCCGCAGAUGAGAUGCACAGAGGGGCAGGCAGCUUGCCUGAGGUCACACAGCCUGUGGAUGACUAGGCCGACUGGGGGGCUGAGCAGUCCAGGCCACACUGGACCACUGAGGCAGAGUGUGUUGCGUAAACAGCAGCUGUGAGGAUGAUGGUGGCAGAGGAUGGCGACAGGUUUGGCCCUGGUCAGUGGCCACCUCACCAGGGUCUGGUCUUGGCUGUUCCCAGUACUCCCAAGAAUAAAUUAGCAUGCAACUUCCUAAAGACCA